UGACAGAAAAGACGAACAUACUUCUGC
rnacentral:piRNA from 1 species